rnacentral:rRNA from 1 species
CCUACGGGUGGCAGCAGUGGGGAAUAUUGGACAAUGGGCGAAAGCCUGAUCCAGCCAUGCCGCGUGUGUGAAGAAGGCCUUCGGGUUGUAAAGCACUUUCAGUGGGGAAGAAAGCCUUGGGGCUAAUACCCUCGAGGAAGGACAUCACCCACAGAAGAAGCACCGGCUAACUCCGUGCCAGCAGCCGCGGUAAUACGGAGGGUGCGAGCGUUAAUCGGAAUUACUGGGCGUAAAGCGCGCGUAGGCGGUCUGAUAAGCCGGUUGUGUAAGCCCCGGGCUCAACCUGGGAACGGCAUCCGGAACUGUCAGGCUAGAGUGCAGGAGAGGAAGGUAGAAUUCCCGGUGUAGCGGUGAAAUGCGUAGAGAUCGGGAGGAAUACCAGUGGCGAAGGCGGCCUUCUGGACUGACACUGACGCUGAGGUGCGAAAGCGUGGGUAGCAAACAGGAUUAGAUACCCCUGUAGUC